UAGAGCAUCUCCAAUGGGGGUGCCAAGAAGAGUGCUUAAGUGCCAUGUGGCAUGACAUGGCAUGGCACUCUUGUUGGCUCUCCAUUGGAGUACAAGGAGUGCCAAGUAAAGUUGCCAACUUUUGACACCCUCUUAAAAUAGAUAAAAGUUGAUAUAUCACCCUAAAGUCAUAUACUUCCCUAUCUUAUUAUACUUAUGUUUAAUUUAAUUUUUUUAUAUAAAUGUGUGGCAACUUUGGGUGCCAACCAUUGGAGCAAAUAUAUAGGUAGAAGUUGCCAAAAGUACAAAUGAAGAGAGAGAAAAUAAAAUAGUAGUACUUUUGAUGAUUUGGCAUUUUAAGCAACUCUACUUA
rnacentral:lncRNA from 1 species